rnacentral:lncRNA from 1 species
UCUCAUCAUUUCAUCUCAAGUCAUCAUUUCAUCUAAGUGAAAUGAUGUAAUGGAAUCAUGAAAUGAAAUGGAUAGGAUGCCCUCAGUGAUGUUAAAUUUAAAAAUUGUUUCUUUUCAUGUAUGCAUUUUUAUAUUUAUAUUUACUUAUAGUUAUUACUUUUUAUUUAUAUUUUUACUUAUUUCUUUAUUCCCAGGUAGCUGGGACCCCAGGUGCGCACCACCACACCUGGUUAAUAUUUUAUUAUUUGCAGAGAUGGAGUCUUGCUAUUCUGCCCAGGCUGGUCUCAAACUCCUGGGCUCAAGCAAUCAGACAAGGUCUCACUAUGUUGCCCAGGCUGGUCAACUCCUGGACUCAAAUGAUUCUCCAAACUUGGCCUCUCAAAAUGUUGGGAUUACAGGUAUGAGCCACCAUGCUUGGCCUAAAAAUAGUAUCAGAGGAGGGCAGGGCAAUGCAGGACUGGGCCAUGGCAGUGCCUGGUCAACUCCGGGGCAGGG